UACGUAGGGUGCGAGCGUUAAUCGGAAUUACUGGGCGUAAAGCGUGCGCAGGCGGUUCUGCAAGACAGGUGUGAAAUCCCCGGGCUUAACCUGGGAAUGGCAUUUGGGACUGCAAGGCUUGAGUGCGGCAGAGGAGACUGGAAUUCCUGGUGUAGCAGUGAAAUGCGUAGAUAUCAGGAGGAAUACCGAUGGCGAAGGCAGGUCUCUGGGCUGACACUGACGCUCAUGCACGAAAGCGUGGGGAGCAAACAGG
rnacentral:rRNA from 1 species